GGAAAAAAGCAACAGGAGUCCAUCCCAUUCUCUUGAGACAACAGGUUCACUGAUCACAGAGAAAAUUUCUUUUCCCUCAGAGUUUAGGCACCUUCAGGUCUGUGCUGUCACCAAUAUCCUUACUGCUACUGCCAUGGAGCAGGGAUUCAAGAUAACCAAAGGAAGACAAAGGUAAAGAAAAAUAAGAAGUUUUCUCCACUCUCUCUGAGCACUCAAAGAUUGUUUUUUUCACAUCUUGAGCCAGAACUAGAAGACUUCCAUUGCUCUCUCUCUUUCUAUAUCAAUACCCACUUCUGGGAUUCAGGCUUCCUUGGACCCAGGCUGGCAGAUGGAGAGCAAAAAAUGGGACAAAAUGGCAGCAGCCAGCCUGACCAUUCCCUUCCCAUCAUGAGGGAGAGGGCUGUGGUAUGGACAGCAGCAGCUGACUGGCCACAGGUGCAGCCACUGCCAUCCAGCCCCGACUCAUUCCUAGAAUAAGAACCACCAGACUGCCCUCUGACACCUGCCUCAGCGGUCCCCACCACUCCUCAAACCCUGUCACCGUCCACAGACAAGCCCUGGAGGGGUGGGGAAAAGUCUGCAAUUCUCCUUAAAAAGGAUUUCUGUCACAUGGCAAAAUGUUUUGUCAGAUAUCAGUUCUGGCCGUUGGUGACAGAGUCAUGGAAUAUAAAAAGACAUCGAGAAGAAAUAUGUGUGAUCUGGAAUCGUGACCUUACAAGUGCAUCUGCAACGUUGGCUGUGUUUGAGCAAGUGAAUCUAUAUGACUAGAAUUUUUUAAUUGAUACAUGACAUUUGUACAUAUUUAUGGGGUACCUGUGAUAUUUUGUUACAUGCAUAGAAUGUUGAAUAACCAAGUCAUGGUAUUCUGGGUAUGCAUCGCCUAGAGUAUUUACCGUUUCUAUGUGUUGGGGACAUUUCAAGUCCUCUCUCCUAGCUAUUUUGAAAUAUACAAUGCAUUGUUGUUAACUAUAGUCACACUAUUCUGCUGUCAAACAUCAGAACAUUUCUUCUAUCUAACUGUAUGUUUGUACCUAUUAACCAACCUUUCUCUUCAUCUUCCCUCAACCCACAUACCCUUGUUAGCCUCAGCUAUCUACUAUUCUAAUACCUACUUCCGUGAGAUCAACUGUUUUAGUUCCCACAAACAAGUGAGAACAUGCAGUAUUUCUCUUUCUAUGCCUGGCUUAU
rnacentral:lncRNA from 1 species